rnacentral:rRNA from 1 species
GACGAACGCUGGCGGCGUGCUUAACACAUGCAAGUCGAGCGGUAAGGCCCUUUCGGGGGUACGACGAGCGGCGAACGGGUGAGUAACACGUGGGUGACCUGCCUUUAGCUCUGGGAUAAGCCUGGGAAACCGGGUCUAAUACCGGAUAUGACUCCGCGGUGCAUGCUGUGGGGUGGAAAGCCUUGUGCGGCUGGAGAUGGGCCCGCGGCCUAUCAGCUUGUUGGUGGGGUGAUGGCCUACCAAGGCGACGACGGGUAGCCGGCCUGAGAGGGCGACCGGCCACACUGGGACUGAGACACGGCCCAGACUCCUACGGGAGGCAGCAGUGGGGAAUCUUGCGCAAUGGGCGAAAGCCUGACGCAGCGACGCCACGUGAGGAUGACGGCCUGGU